rnacentral:rRNA from 1 species
UACGUAGGAGGCAAACGUUAUCCGGAUUUACUGGGCGUAAAGCGCGUGCAGGCGGUCUGGUAAGUUGGACGUGAAAGCUCCCGGCUCAACUGGGAGAGGUCGUUCAAUACUGUCAGACUUGAGGAUGGUAGAGGGAGGUGGAAUUCCAGGUGUAGUGGUGAAAUGCGCAGAUAUCUGGAGGAACACCAGUGGCGAAAGCGGCCUCCUGGACCAUUCCUGACGCUCAGACG